GAUGAAGAAUGCAGCGAAAUGCGAUAAGUAAUGUGAAUUGCAGAAUUCAGUGAAUCAUCGAAUCUUUGAACGCACAUUGCGCCCGCCAGUAUUCUGGCGGGCAUGCCUGUUCGAGCGUCAUUUCAACCAUCAAGCCCCAGGCUUGUGUUGGGGACCUGCGGCUGCCGCAGGCCCUGAAAACCAGUGGCGGGCUCGCUGUCACACCGGGCGUAGUAGAUUUUAUCUCGCUCAGGGCGUGCUGCGGGUCCCGGCCGUUAAAAGCCUUUUUUUACCCAAGGUUGACCUCGGAUCAGGUAGGAAGACCCGCUGAACUUAAGCAUAUCAAUAAGCGGAGGA
rnacentral:misc_RNA from 1 species